AUCGGUACGGGUUGUGGGAGCAAGAGCCCGGAGAUGGAUUCUGAGACACGAAUCCAGGCCCUACGGGGCGCAGCAGGCGCGAAAACUUUACAAUGCAGGCAACUGUGAUAAGGGAACCCCGAGUGCCCGUAUGGACGGGCUGUUCAGGUGCUUAAAAACCACCUGGAGAAAGGGCCGGGCAAGACCGGUGCCAGCCGCCGCGGUAAUACCGGCGGCUCGAGUGGUGGCCACUAUUACUGGGCUUAAAGCGUCCGUAGCUUGGUCGUUAAGCCUCUGGGGAAAUCUUCCGGCUCAACCGGAAGGCGUCUCAGGGGGACUGGCGACCUAGGGAUCGGGAGAGGUGAGAGGUACUCUGGGGGUAGGAGUGAAAUCCUGUAAUCCUCAGGGGACCACCUGUGGCGAAGGCGUCUCACCAGAACGACUCCGACAGUGGGGGACGAAAGCUGGGGGAGCAAACCGGAUUAGAUACCCGGGUAGUCCCAGCCGUAAACGAUGCGCGUUAGGUGUAUCGGUGACCACGAGUUACCGAGGUGCCGAAGGGAAACCGUGAAACGCGCCGCCUGGGAAGUACGGUCGCAAGGCUGAAACU
rnacentral:rRNA from 1 species